rnacentral:rRNA from 1 species
CGUAGGGGGCAAGCGUUGUCCGGAUUUAUUGGGCGUAAAGAGCGUGUAGGCGGCUUGGCAAGUCCGCUAGUGAAAACUCGAGGCUCAACCUCGAGACGUCGGUGGAAACUGCCUCGCUAGAGUCCGGAAGAGGAGAGUGGAAUUCCUGGUGUAGCGGUGAAAUGCGCAGAUAUCAGGAAGAACACCCGUGGCUAAGGCGGCUCUCUAGUACGGUACUGACGCUGAGACGCGAAAGCGUGGGGAGCGAACAGGAUUAGAUACCCCUGGUAGUCCACGCCGUAAACGAUGGGUGCUAGGUGUGGGCGGUGUCGACUCCGUCCGUGCCGAAGCUAACGCAUUAAGCACCCCGCCUGGGGAGUACGGCCGCAAGGCUA